UCUUGUGGAUAAGGGACGUCUCGUGAUGAAGCCGCAUAGGGCAGAUUCUGAGCUGGAAGGCACCGCCUUCUCACACUGAUCUUCCGUUUAUGCCGCCUGAAGACGUCCCCGGUUUU